rnacentral:rRNA from 1 species
CCUACGGGAGGCAGCAGUGGGGGAUAUUGCACAAUGGAGGAAACUCUGAUGCAGCGAUGCCGCGUGAGGGAAGAAGGUUUUCGGAUUGUAAACCUCUGUGGAGGGGGACGAUAAUGACGGUACCCCUUUAGGAAGCCACGGCUAACUACGUGCCAGCAGCCGCGGUAAU